GGGGACAGUGACACAGGCUAGGAACCGUACCUGUUCCGCUAACUGUCCGACCACUUUCAUGGGAAUGGAGACGAGGACUGUGGCGUGUGACGAAAGCCCAUGUCCAGUGGUCACCGAUUGGUCCGAAUGGGCUAAUAGUGGAGCAUGCUCAGUGACGUGCGGGUCGGGGACAGUGACACAGGCUAGGAACCGUACCUGUUCCGCUAACUGUCCGACCACUUUCAUGGGAAUGGAGACGAGGACUGUGGCGUGUGACGAAAGCCCAUGUCCAGGUAUUGGUCACCGAGUGGUCCGAAUGGGCUAAUAGUGGAGCAUGCUCAGUGACGUGCGGGUCGGGGACAGUGACACAGGCUAGGAACCGUACCUGUUCCGCUAACUGUCCGGCCAAUUUCAUGGGAAUGGAGACGAGAACUGUGGCGUGUGACGAAAGCCCAUGUCCAGUGAUCACUGAAUGGUGUGAAUGGGCUAAUAGUGGAGCCUGUUCAGUGACCUGUGGGUCUGGGGCACACUCGCAGGCAAGGAACCGUACCUGUUCCGCUAACUGUCGGACCAAUUUCAUUGGAAUGGAGACGAGGACUGUCCACUGCAAGCAUGGUCCAUGUCCAAAAGGACAUGGAGCCGGAUGGCCACAACCGUAUAGAUGGGGGCAAAGGAGACAUCAUUGGGGCUUUGGCACACAUCGAAGGAUACAUCAUGGGGGCUUUGGCACACAUCGAAGUAGAUAUUAUGGGAGCUUUGGCACACAUCGAAGUAGAUUUCAUGGGAGCUUUGGCACACAUCGAAGUAGAUUUCAUGGGAGCUUUGGCACGCAUCAGACCGGAUGGGCCAGACGUCGUUAUGGAUAUCAUGGCUAGGCGCAACUCUACUAAGCCAGAUUUUGACGCCAAAGAUAUCAAGGAUAUUACGCUGUUCUUGAGCUGACGGCCUGGAUUGAUACAACUUAUAAUACGGAUGCCGCGGUUACGACCAACAGCUACGCCUAUUUCAAAGAUAUAAGACAUUUGAUAAUACAAUACCGCACAUUUUUGUGGCUGUGAUGGAUCUAAAUGUGCAUUCUACAUGUCAAUAAAGCUUACGAUCUAACUGUCUAA